GACGAACGCUGGCGGCGUGCUUAACACAUGCAAGUCGAACGGUAAGGCCCCUUCGGGGGUACCCGAGUGGCGAACGGGUGAGUAACACGUGAGCAACCUGCCCUUGACUUUGGGAUACCAGCUGGAAACAGCUGCUAAUACCGGAUAUGACCUCUUCUCUCAUGGGUUGAGGUGGAAAGCUCCGGCGGUCAGGGAUGGGCUCGCGGCCUAUCAGCUUGUUGGUGAGGUAAUGGCUCACCAAGGCUUCGACGGGUAGCCGGCCUGAGAGGGCGACCGGCCACACUGGGACUGAGAUACGGCCCAGACUCCUACGGGAGGCAGCAGUGGGGAAUAUUGCACAAUGGGCGCAAGCCUGAUGCAGCAACGCCGCGUGCGGGAUGACGGCCUUCGGGUUGUAAACCGCUUUCAGUAGGGACGAAGCUAACGUGACGGUACCUACAGAAGAAGGACCGGCUAACUACGUG
rnacentral:rRNA from 1 species